rnacentral:lncRNA from 10 species
ACGCAACUGAGUUUAAAACGGGUAACAUACCUUGGAGAGCAAUUUCUACACUGGGGUCUGCAGGGCUGAAUCGAGAAAUCCGCACCAUCUUAGAAGUCUUCCAGUAUUGCAGUCUCAGGCCACUACUAUUCCUUUUACCAGGCAUCGCAUCACUGGUAAUAUUUAUUGACAUACUUUGGAAAAGACUGGAUGAGUUGCUCUGCGACUUCCCACUCUAACAUAUGUUUCUCUGAGUUUCUACAACUUCAGCUAAAUGUUUUAAGGAAGAAAAGAACAACAGAAUAUGUGCUAAUUUUGAUUGAUUGAUGCUCCCUCCUAUAGCAGCAUACAAAUUUUAGAGUGGGAGAAAAAUCUAUUACGAUUUCAAUGAAAUGAGCUAUUUUAUCUUGUCCCUAUGUGGUACCAUCAACAUUUUAGACAGAUGAACACCAAACCAUUGACUGAAUUGCUGCAUAGUGGAUUUGCCUUGAUUAUAAAGACAGUUGAAUGACCAGGGUACCUCUGGCAAUUUUGGCAAUCAAUAAGUAACAUGAAUCAACUAUGUAGUGGUCAGACUGGCUACCCAGUGCUCAAUCAAAACAGAAAAUAACAGAGAUAAGUUAAUCCUUAGGUUGCAGGACUAUACCAUGAUACCAGCAUAAAACUCAAAUGGACAUUCAUGAUGAAAAAAUGUUAAUGCUAUCAUUAUACAAUAAACUGCUAAAAGUAUUUUUA